rnacentral:rRNA from 1 species
GGUCUUUAGAUUUUUAUUUAAGAUCAGGCCUGCCCAUUGAUUUGAAAAAUUAAAAGGCUGCGGUAUUUUAACUGUACGAAGGUAGCAUAAUCACUUGUCUUUUAAUUGGAGGCUAGAAUGAAUGGUUUGAUGAGAAAAAAACUUUCUUUUUUUAAUUUAUAUUAAUUUAAUUUUUUAGUUAAAAAGCUUAAAUUUUUUUAUAGGACGAGAAGACCCUAUAGAAGUUGAUUAUAUUAAUAAUUUCUUAUUUUUUGUUAUUAAAAUAUUUUUUUAAAUUGUAUAUUUUUGUUGGGGUGACAUUAAAAUUUAUUUAACUUUUAAUAUUUAUUUCAUUAAUUUAUGUUUUUUUGAUCCAAUAUUUAUUGAUUAAAAGUUUAACUUACCUUAGGGAUAACAGCGUAAUUUUUUCGGAGAGUUCAUAUCGAUGAAUAAAGUUUGCGA